CGCACACACCCGCCCCCACCCCCCAGAAGCCUCGGGAUUGCAGCUGUUUCAUGUGGGGUAGCAGUGCUGGCAGGGACGCCGGCCGGGAGCGGGAGCCCGGCGUGCGCGCGCGGCUGGAGGCUCGCUGGGGCUCCGCUCCCUGCGGGGGCUAUUGUUGGUCUCGCUGGAGCUGAGCGCAGAGCCGGGACCCGCUCCUUCCUGGGCGCCCUGCUCGCGCUCGCGGAGCGGAAGAGCAGCGCCGCCGAGAGCGAGAGAAGCCACCGGCGCGGCGCCCUGCCUCUCUGCCGCCCUCCUUCCCGCUUCCCCGGCGGUAGCAGCCUGCAGCCAUGAUGAAAAGGCUGAGAAUCAGAGAGGGCUAGUGAUCUCCUGGACACUUGGUCAGUAGAAAGGAACCUGCCUUGUCCUCCAGGAUCUGAUGGCCCUGGAGAGAAGCCUGCAGGGCCCACAGAUACUGCUGAUUCUUCAGAACGUGCUGGCAUGGAGCCAGGUCAGUC